rnacentral:tRNA from 1 species
GCCUCCAUAGUUCAAUGGAUAGAACAAUCCCGUCCUAAGGGAAAAAUGCUGGUUCGAUUCCGGCUGGGGGCA